GACGAACGCUGGCGGCGUGCUUAACACAUGCAAGUCGAACGGAAAGGCCCUGCUUUUGUGGCGUUCUCGAGUGGCGAACGGGUGAGUAACACGUGAGUAACCUGCCCUUGACUUUGGGAUAACUUCAGGAAACUGGGGCUAAUACCGGGUAGGAGCUCCUGCUGCAUGGUGUGGGUUGGAAAGUUUCGGCUGUUGGGGAUGGACUCGCGGCUUAUCAGCUUGUUGGUGGGGUAGUGGCUUACCAAGGCUUUGACGGGUAGCCGGCCUGAGAGGGUGACCGGCGACAUUGGGACUGAGAUACGGCCCAGACUCCUACGGGAGGCAGCAGUGGGGAAUAUUGCACAAUGGGCGGAAGCCUGAGGCAGCAACGCCGCGUGCGGGAUGACGGCCUUCGGGUUGUAAACCGCUUUCGCCUGUGACGAAGCGUGAGUGACGGUAAUGGGUAAAGAAGCACCGGCUAACUACGUG
rnacentral:rRNA from 1 species